rnacentral:rRNA from 1 species
GACGAACGCUGGCGGCGUGCUUAACACAUGCAAGUCGAACGGUAAGGCUCCAGCUUGCUGGGGUACACGAGUGGCGAAUGGGUGAGUAACACGUGGGUGACCUGCCCUGCACUUCGGGAUAAGCCUGGGAAACUGGGUCAAAUACCGGAUAGGACCAUGGUGUGGAUACUGUGGUGGAAAGUUUUUUCGGUGUGGGAUGGGCCCGCGGCCUAUCAGCUUGUUGGUGGGGUAAUGGCCUACCAAGGCGGCGACGGGUAGCCGGCCUGAGAGGGUGGACGGCCACAUUGGGACUGAGACACGGCCCAGACUCCUACGGGAGGCAGCAGUGGGGAAUAUUGCACAAUGGGCGGAAGCCUGAUGCAGCGACGCCGCGUGGGGGAUGACGGCCUUCGGGUUGUAAACUCCUUUCACCAUCGACGAAGGGUUUCUGACGGUAGAUGGAGAAGAAGCACCGGCUAACUACGUG